AGUUCCUGCUGUCGUCACAACAGUGACAUCUUUAUUCCUGCACUCGCCAUGGUCUGCAGGAGGGGCAAUCUUGGUCCUUUUCAGGGUCUUGCUCAAAAUUCUGCUCUUUCUGGAGCUUUCCCCAGGGACCUUCCUCACCGCCUAUACUCUGCCCCGACCCGCUCCCGGAAGAAUUGAUUAUUCCCACCUCUCGCUUUGCUCCAGCUCCAAGGGGCCGCACGACCGGCUGUGACCUUGAUGGGCUGAGCCGCCUGAGGAGAAGCCACAAAGCACCCACCUACUCCUGAUGUGGGCAGCCAGGAGCUGACUCCGACCAGGUGCUGAGUACCCUCUCUGCGUGUCUGCCCUCAGAGGGACGCCAGGCAGCGUGUCUGGAGAACAGACAAAGAGCCGCAUACCUGGUCCCCGCAGGCUGCCUUCUGCCGAGAUAGUCAUGACAUCCCGAACAACGAGGAGGAAACAAAAUAACCUGUUCAAGGUCACCUGCGAGGAAGCGGCAGGGCAGCGAUUUGAACUCAAGGCUGUCUGAGCGCUUAACCACCAUGCCAUCUGCCUUCACACACCAGACGCGCUGACCAGGGGGCAGGUUCCGGCGAAAACAUCUGGCUGCACGUAGAAUUCACUUUCAUUUUACAUUUGAGAAAACUGAACUCAAGGAUGUUAUAUAAUGGAAAUGAGUCACUCAGCUAUGGCCCGGUGUUAGCGGCAUCUCUGAUGCUGGCUCUCUGGGGUAGUUCCCUCCGGCACUGAGUCAGCGCUGCCAGGACUUACCAAUGGACGGUGACGGAUGAGAGGCUGGGUCAGCCCCAAGCAUCAAGAGGACGUGGCAUGUCCACUUUUGCACUUUUGGGAGCCCCAAGAUGCAGUGGAUAAAGCUUGGCAGUCCUGCUGGAGAGGCCACGUGGAGAAGAGAGACCCUGAGGCCGUGUGGAGUGGAGGGGGCCCCGUCUCCCCAGCAUCCCACUUUAGCCUCUAAAUGACCCCAACCUGUCAGACUGCACGAGAGACCCCACGCAAGAUCAGCUAGGGACCAGGCCAACGAGGAGGAGCCCGGUCCACCCACGGAACAGGGGGGACAACAAGCUGGCUGUUUCAAGCCACUGUCCAAUUGUAGCUAUCAUGAGUUGAGGCCCUACUGUGUGGGCCUCGUAUCCCUGUCCUGAGUAUCACCCCCAUCUUCAAGAUGAAGAAACUGAGGCCCUGAGAGGGAAGAAUGUCACAUAGUUGGAACCAUCCAGUAUGGAGCCUUUUCGCACUGCCUUCUUUCACUUCGUCACAUGCAUUUAAGGUUCCUCCUUCUUUCCACGGCUUGACAGCUCACUUCUCUUCAGCGCUGAGUAACAUUCCAUCAUCUGAAUGUGCCACAGUUUAUUUAGCCACUCACCUACUGAAGGACAUCUGAGUUGCUUCCAAGGUUUGGCAAUUAUGAAUAAAGCUG
rnacentral:lncRNA from 1 species